UGCCGCGUGAGUGAUGAAGGCCCUAGGGUCGUAAAGCUCUUUCGCCAGAGAUGAUAAUGACAGUAUCUGGUAAAGAAACCCCGGCUAACUCCGUGCCAGCAGCCGCGGUAAUACGGAGGGGGUUAGCGUUGUUCGGAAUUACUGGGCGUAAAGCGCGCGUAGGCGGAUUGGAAAGUUGGGGGUGAAAUCCCGGGGCUCAACCCCGGAACGGCCUCCAAAACUCCCAGUCUUGAGUUCGAGAGAGGUGAGUGGAAUUCCGAGUGUAGAGGUGAAAUUCGUAGAUAUUCGGAGGAACACCAGUGGCGAAGGCGGCUCCACUGGCUCGAUACUGACGCUGAGGUGCGAAAGUGUGGGGAGCAAACAGGAUUAGAUACCCUGGUAGUCCACACCGUAAACGAUGAAUGGCCAGACGUCAGCAAGCAUGCUUGUUGGUGUCACACCUAACGGAUAA
rnacentral:rRNA from 1 species